rnacentral:rRNA from 1 species
CCUCCUUUGUUCCUCCUUUUUGCCUCUUGCCCCAUGGGGGCACCCCUGCUGCAGCAACGCCGCGUGAGUGAUGACGGCCUUCGGGUUGUAAAGCUCUGUCUUCAGGGACGAUAAUGACGGUACCUGAGGAGGAAGCCACGGCUAACUACGUGCCAGCAGCCGCGGUAAUACGUAGGUGGCGAGCGUUGUCCGGAUUUACUGGGCGUAAAGGGAGCGUAGGCGGACUUUUAAGUGAGAUGUGAAAUACUCGGGCUCAACUUGAGUGCUGCAUUUCAAACUGGAAGUCUAGAGUGCAGGAGAGGAGAAUGGAAUUCCUAGUGUAGCGGUGAAAUGCGUAGAGAUUAGGAAGAACACCAGUGGCGAAGGCGAUUCUCUGGACUGUAACUGACGCUGAGGCUCGAAAGCGUGGGGAGCAAACAGGAUUAGAUACCCUAGUAGUC